GAUUUCUGACAUUAAUAUGUUUAGCCCGCGACGGUUACGUCUGUGUGUGCUGAUACAUGUUUGUCAUCCUUCUAGAAAAUGUUAAUUGGCUCUUCAUUGAGUCUAAUUAAUCACAAUCUAGAUCUUUUACUUUGAAAAAAUUAGAGUGUUUAAAGCAGGCGUUUGCUAUGAAUACAUUAGCAUGGAAUAAUAAUUUAGGACUUUGGUUCUAUUUUGUUGGUUUCUAGAACUGAAGUAAUGAUUGAUAGGGAUGGUUGGGGGUGCUCGUAUUCAGUGGCCAGAGGUGAAAUUCUCGGAUUCACUGAAGACGAACUUAUGCGAAAGCAUU
rnacentral:rRNA from 1 species